rnacentral:tRNA from 1 species
UCUCAGAUGGUAAAGAAUCUGCCUGAAAUGCGGAAGACCUGGGUUCGAUCCCCAG